GAUGAACGCUGGCGGCGUGCCUAAUACAUGCAAGUCGAGCGAACAGACGAGGAGCUUGCUCCUCUGACGUUAGCGGCGGACGGGUGAGUAACACGUGGAUAACCUACCUAUAAGACUGGGAUAACUUCGGGAAACCGGAGCUAAUACCGGAUAAUAUAUUGAACCGCAUGGUUCAAUAGUGAAAGACGGUUUUGCUGUCACUUAUAGAUGGAUCCGCGCCGCAUUAGCUAGUUGGUAAGGUAACGGCUUACCAAGGCGACGAUGCGUAGCCGACCUGAGAGGGUGAUCGGCCACACUGGAACUGGGACACGGUCCAGACUCCUACGGGAGUCAGCAGUAGGGAAUCUUCCGCAAUGGGCGAAAGCCUGACGGAGCAACGCCGCGUGAGUGAGGAAGGUCUUCGGAUCGUAAAACUCUGUUAUUAGGGAAGAACAAAUGUGUAAGUAACUAUGCACGUCUUGACGGUACCUAAUCAGAAAGCCACGGCUAACUACGUG
rnacentral:rRNA from 1 species